CGCAGGCGGAUCACGAGGUCAGGAGAUUGGGACCAACCUGGCAAACAGGGUGAAACCCUGUCUCUACUAAAAAUACAAAAUACAAAAAAAAUCAGCCUGGCAUGGUGGCGGGCGCCUGUGGUCCCAGCUACUCUGGAGGCUGACGCAGGAGAAUGCCGUGAACCCGGGAGGCGGAGCUUGCAGAGAGCCGGAGAUCACGCCACUGCACUCCAGCCUGGGCUACAGAGCAAGACUCCGUCUCAAAAAAAACCAAAACAAAACAAAACAAAAAAAACACCCAGUUUUUCCAUGGAGUGAUAGAAUUUAAUUGAUGAGCUUGACGAGCUUAAUUACAGAAGGGAGAGCUCCAAAAUACAUGAGAUUUUCCAUGUCUACUCUGGUGCCAUUACUGGAAGAUCCUUCCAUUUUCUACAAGGGAUUUUUACCUAUAUUGUUGAGAAGUGGAAUCCCCUUUGGUAGCUCUGUACCUUCAGCUUCUCCCUCUGUGGUAUCCAUUCCCUGCCACAACUAUAGAAUCUGCAAUCUGGUAAAAUGAAGGGCAUUCUCCCAAGGCACCGUAAACACUUUGGAAAACAAAAAGAGAAAAAAAAGGAAAUGCAAUUGCCUUCCUUUCAACUCCUUGGCCUGCGAGGAAUGUCUCAGCACGUCAUCACUGUAACACUUUUAUUUUCAGAUUCUGAGUCAGAUUCUGAGAUCAGCACCAAAGCAUACUUGCACAUCAUAAAUAAAGAGCUCCCUGUCUCUUCAGUGCCUCGUAUAUGCCCAGCAAAGUUCCAGAUGCCUUAGACACACAUCUCAAUGGUACAGUAUCUACUUUGCAAAACAGGAAAAGGAAAGGAAGCUUACAGAAGUUCCUCUACAUCUUUAAGGACAGACAGCUAGGAAGCAUUGAUUUACUUAAUUUCAUAAUGUUAAUGCUAAUGAACAUACUUCACUAUGUUUCCAUGUUAUAGCUGAGGAAUCCAUGUCAGGGAAUUCAAGUGGCUUUUUAAAUGCUCCCAUUUGAAGCAAAGGCAGAGUCAACCAAUGCAUUGUGUCCUGCUGCUGCAAGAGGGGCUCUUUGAAGCUUUGCUACUCAGAAAGUGGUCCAGACUGGCAGCGCGGCCAUCACCUGAGACUGUGUCACAAAUGCAAUGUACCGCCCCACUUGCUGAAUCAGACUGUGCAUUUUAACAGCCUCCUCCCCACCGAAUGACUCCUGUCAUUAACGCUUGAGAGGCACUGCAUUAAUGCUUGAGAAGCACUGCAUUCAUCACUCUGCCCCACUCAAAUAGACAACUUGGAAACACAUUGAAUAUUUCAGUGUUUUUAAGGCAGCUGAUGACUGUUUUCAGCAGGAGCCACCUGCAUUUUCCAAAAACCACCUGGGAUUGAUAGAGGGCCCUUCUCUGAAUCCCUGGCCACAGUCCUGCCUGCUUCAAUCCUCAAUCUUGACACCAGUCACCCCACAUAGGGAAUCUGUGGGUCCAAGCAGGAAUGAAUGGCUAAGUUUUCUUUCUAAUUUAACCUACCCACGUGAAACAGCACUAACCUUUAUAUGCUAUUGCUGGUUCCACUGUGGAGAAGCUGAUCAUUCACUCUUCCAGGAGAAGCUCCCAAAAGGCUCUUGAGUUACAAGGGAAUCUGUUGUCUCCUAGAUCCAGAUGAAUGAGCCUGCCUGCCACUUCUUCCUUUGUGCUGAGCACCUGGGAAUUUGCUGAACGGUGUGUUUACUGGAAGGCUUCAUUAUUUUGAUCCCAUUAUCUCUACAUAUGCUUGUUAUCUUCUGGAUAAAACCUGAUUGCAAGCCUGUCUUCUGUGUUUGCUCUUUUUCCUGUCAUUUUCUGAAAUGUAUAUGUAAUAUAAUGUGCAAGUAGGAGUGAGCGUGCCCCUCCGCCCCCGAUUUUGGGGUCAAAAUGAUGGAGAAGCCUUUGUGCUAUGUGUGGGAAUGCUAACGGGUAUCUUCAUAGGGAACCUGCAGCAAAAAGUAGCAUGUGAACGUUGGUCUUGUGCACAGUGGAGAUCAGAUUACAAUAUUUUACAGCUUGGGAGGAUUUUUAGACAUUUGUCAUAACCACUUUUGGUAGUCUUUCCUAAUUAUGGCAAUGGAAACAUAGUGCCAUUUACAAUUCUGUAUGGUAGAGAGCUUUUCUUUUUAUGCUUGGUAACACAGAAAUAACUUGGGGCUGGUCCUUUUAAGAAAUAUCCAAGAUUCAAUUAGGAAACAAUAUUUAGUUGGUGCCCACUAUGCACCAGGCAAUGUAUAUGAUUCUAGAAUUCAGCAACGAACAAGACAGACAAAACACCCUGCCCUGGUCAAGCUUCUAUCAUUGCACCUCCAGGGAACAGGAGAAAAGAUGAUAUUUGCUGUUUUCAAUAGUGGCUGAACUGGAAAAUAAUAUGAAAAGCUUUUCAACUUACAGAAGACUGGGCAUCACUCCACAGCAAUUAAAUCUAUAUCUCUAUGACUGGUACCCAGACAUCAGUAUUAAAAAAAAAAAGCACAAAAAUAAAAAACUCCCUGUAUGUCAAAUGUGUCACCAGGGUUGAGAACCAUCAGGCUAUGUAAUAUGUGGGGAUCCUUAACAGACCUAGAAUUUUAGGAGGAAGAGCAUACUGAGUAGAGUUUGUGAGCAUUGAAAUGAGGGUUUCAUGUUCUCAUGUGGUAAUAUUUUCAUCAUAAAUUAAGAACUUGUAGAGCAAUGGAAAAAAUAAAUCCAGUCUUCAUCACGCUAACUGUUGAGAAAUGGCUUUAGUAUAAUUUUAUGUAGACUCUGAAAUUCCUUAUCACUGGAUUCCAUCUGGCAACUUGGAUUUUGAGAAGUACUUCCUUCAGUGGAAGCUAUGUUUGCCUGGAAAAAAAGAUGUUGUGUUAAUGUAAUUAAGAAUCAGCUUCCAGCUCCAUCUAUGUCCCUGCAAAGGACAUAAUCUCAUUCCUUUUUGUGGCUGCAUAGUAUUCCAUUGUGUAUAUGUGCCAUAUUUUCUUUAUCCAGUCUAUCAUCGAUGGGCAUUUGGGUUAACUCCAUGUCUUUGCUAUUGUGAAUAGUGCUGCAGUGAGCAUACAUGUGCAUGUAUCUUUGUAAUAGAAUGAUUUAUAUUCCUUUGGGUAUAUAUACAGUAAUGGGAUUGCAGGGUCUAAUAGUUCUAGACCCUUGCAGAGUCACCACACCAUCUUCCACCAUGGUUGAACUAAUUUAUAUUCCCACCAACAGUGUAAAAUUGUUCCUAUUUCUCUACAACCUCGCCAGCAUCUGUUGUUUCUUGACUUUUUAAUAAUAACCAUUCUGACUAGCGUGAUAUGGUAUCUCAUUGUGAUUUUGAUUUGUAUUUAUCUAAAGAUCAGUGACUUUGAGCUUUUUUUCAUGUUUGUUGGCCGCCUCAGCAAACUAAUGCAGGAACUGAAAACAAAACACCACUUGUUCUCACUUGUAAAUGGGAGCUGAACAUUGAGAACACACAGACACAGGAAGGGGAACCAUACACACUGGGGCCAGUUGGGAGGUGCGGUGAGGGGAGACGGAGCAUUAGGAAAAAUAGUUAAUGCAUGCUAGGCUGAAUGCCUAGGUGAUGGGUUGAUGGGUACAGCAAAUCACCGUGGCACACACUUACCUAUGUAACAAACCUGCACAUCCUGCAAAUGUACCCCAGAACUUAAAAUAAAAAUAGAAAUCAAAAAAAAGAAAAAGCAUACAAAAACAUACAUUGGGAAAAGGACACUCUAUUUAAUAAACCAACAACCAUGUAAAGACAAACCACGUGUCCCCCAAAAUUAUUGAAAUUUUAAAAAUAAAUUGAAAAAAAAAACAGAAUCAGUGAGCAGAUCCAUGGGCAAAAUGACAGUUUUAACAAUCUGCCACAACUGGACAAUAGAGAGGAAAGAGUAGGGGAAGUUGAAAAGUAAAUUAAAAGAGAAGUAGAGAAAAAGGAAAAGAGAGCUUGAAAAGUAUAACAGAAGGUUGAAGACGGGGGAAAGAUACAACAGAGAGCAGAUGAUGCCUAGCCUCAGUGUGGACCCAGACACUGCAGCCAUGGGCUUCAGUGCCUGAAGGAGCAGGGGGCCCAGGACUCUGCAUCCAGAUCCUUUUUCCCCAUGCAGCUGUGGCUUCUGUCUACUUCCUCCUUCCUGGUGCUCUGGGGAAGACAGGACUUCCUGAGUUCUGGGCUCAUGCCUUUCAAGCAGAGUCAAGCGAGUCAGGCUCAAUCUGUAACCAAAGCCAAAUGGCUUCAUUUUUGGGAAGUGCCAUGAAACCUGAGCAAAGGGGACAGCUAUUUUGAGACUGCUAUGGCUUUAGAGAUAAGGCUAAUUUGUGUCAGUAGAAAGACUCCCGGGAGAGAAGGGAGGAGGAAGGGAGGAACGACACCGUUGAUGCUUUGGGGCAAAUCUCAGAGGAGGCAGAAAAUAAACCCUUAGGAGAACCUUUUGGGACUGUAGAUUUCAAACCCCCAUUGCACUCAAACAUUUAAGUCUCCCACCAAGAGAGACACAAUCUGUACUCAUUGUGUUCAGCUCUGAAUAAAACUAACACAAUUAAGCUCCUGGAUUCCUGCCUGCUCUGGGCACUUACAACCACAGAAUCUCAAAGUGAUCUCAAGAAGUCACUUGCUGCAAGUAUGUGAAUCAGAAAGAGCACCGGUUUGGGGGACACUGUAGAGCAGAAAGCCCCUACAGGGCCAGGACUUAGGGCAGCUGAAUUGUGAAGCGCUUAAAGAUGGAUUCAAGGCCCAAGCUGCCUCUCAGCAUUAUAUUAACAUCUUCAAAUGCUCAUCUAUAGCUCAGAGAUCUAGUCCAGUAUUGUUUCUAUACUAUCAUUUCGAAUCUCUGAGUUAAAUUUUCCACUCAGUAAAACAAGAGUGUCAAACCAAAUGCCCCUUAGAGACUCCUGGUCUCUCAGCAGUUCUUCAGUGUGAGUUAAUAGAAUGGUACUUUACACAUUCCUUUCUUGCAUGAAACCCUUACUAUAAAUACCUAAGUUAUAACAAGACAGGGCUGAGGUUCUGAAGAGACAAGAGGGAGUAUGUGUUUCCUAACUUCCUGCAGGUUCCUAAACAACCAUUUUCCCUCUGAUUUUUAUCUCUACUAACCUUCCUGGCAUCUUCUAUCUUGUCAUUAAUUUGCACCUGCUUUCUAUGUCACACGAGCACUUUUAAAUAAGUGUAUGUCUCCGGGACUCCAUUUCUCCUUUUUCUGUUUCAUGUAAUCUUCUGGCAUCUUCAAAUUUUUUCUUUGCACAAUUUAAUUUUUUAAUAUAACUCUUCACAGUACUAGGUGGGUAAAAGUCCCUCCAAAAAAGUUGCUUUCUUUAAUUUCUCUCCUCUGCAACCCUAUUAUUUAAUUCAAUGAUUAAUUAAACAUGCACUAUGUGCUAGAGACAGGGUUUAAAUUGGUGGACACAUCAGACAUAAUCCCCGUCUUCCCAGGGUUGACAAUCAGAAGAGGAAGAUCUAUAGAACAUUCACAAGUCCUCUAAAGAGAAUGAACAACAUAGAAGAUAAGAAAUGAGUGGCCUGGUGGGCAUGGCCAAGGGAGUCAUUUCUGAGUAUGUGGUCCAUAAGCAGAUACUGAAAGGACCUACAGGAGCCAGCUUUGUAAAGGCAAAUAGCAGCUCAUUGAGUGUAGCUGCAUCAGGCUAAGUGAAAGCUCUGAGACACAAAAGAUAAGUUUCUGCCAAAAAUGUGUUUAGUGACAGGGAAAUUAGAGGAGGAGGGACAUGAAGAAACGUCAGCCUCUCUCCUGGAACUUUGUAUUUACAUCUACACCAAAGCUGGUGGAGUCACAUAUUGACUUACAGCCCUGACCCUCACCCCCUGCCCAGGUUCACAGCCCACGUCUUCAUGUGGGUGCUUCACACACAACUAAAAUCAUCCUACUUAAAUGCAGAUCCACUGUCUUCCCCCAAUGAGCCAAGUCUCCCUCCAGUGUUCUCUUGCCUAGAAAAGAAAACUGUACCAAAAAAACUCGCAAAAAAAAAUUGUGUCUUUAAUAUUAUAACCACAGUAAAUGCUGAGACUCCUUGUGACCCAGUCUAUGCAAAUAAUUGCACAGAAAGAAGCACAGUAGAGGAAUAUGAAAACAAUAAAAUGGCAUUUAUGCUAACCUCCAGCUGAAUCUCUUAGAGAAAAGUGAAAGGAAUUUCAUACUACAACUACCUUCCUUAAAUCAUAUAUCUCUUUCUCAAAUUUAUCCACCCUGGUCUUCCACAGCUCAACCCAUAUCUGUGUAUUUUUUCAAGAUAUUUUUCUUCCUCUAUGAACACCUGCCUCCUUUCU
rnacentral:lncRNA from 1 species